AUGAAUUCUUUGAAUAUCCAUAGUACUAAUGAUGAUUGCACUAGUCAUGAUAAAAAUGUUUCUUAUAAGCAUGUCAAUUUUUGUGGAGUGCAUAGAGUUUGCCGUUACAUACCAAAAAGGGAAGAUAUAUUUUGCAAGAGGCAUAAGCAUUUAGAAACUAAAUGGUUGCAAAAGAGGCUAGAUGUUUGUGCUGAACAGUUUAAUAUUUUUAGCCAUCCUUGUGAUCUUUGCAAUGAACGUGGUCAUUUAAAUCUCCAAUGCAAAUUGUUUCAUGAUCGAAUCGUGACCAAAAAUUGUGAUGACUUGAUUUCCCCUGCGCAUCAUAAUUAA
rnacentral:rRNA from 1 species